GAUGGACGCUGGCGGCGUGCCUAAUACAUGCAAGUCGAGCGAACGGACGAGAAGCUUGCUUCUCUGAUGUUAGCGGCGGACGGGUGAGUAACACGUGGAUAACCUACCUAUAAGACUGGGAUAACUUCGGGAAACCGGAGCUAAUACCGGAUGAUAUUUUGAACCGCAUGGUUCAAAAGUGAAAGACGGUCUUGCUGUCACUUAUAGAUGGAUCCGCGCUGCAUUAGCUAGUUGGUAAGGUAACGGCUUACCAAGGCAACGAUGCAUAGCCGACCUGAGAGGGUGAUCGGCCACACUGGAACUGAGACACGGUCCAGACUCCUACGGGAGGCAGCAGUAGGGAAUCUUCCGCAAUGGGCGAAAGCCUGACGGAGCAACGCCGCGUGAGUGAUGAAGGUCUUCGGAUCGUAAAACUCUGUUAUUAGGGAAGAACAUAUGUGUAAGUAACUGUGCACAUCUUGACGGUACCUAAUCAGAAAGCCACGGCUAACUACGU
rnacentral:rRNA from 1 species